ensembl:snRNA U6 U6 spliceosomal RNA
UUGCUUUGACAGCAGGUGCAAUAAACUUGAAAUGAUACAGAGAAGAUUAGCACAGCUCUUGCACGAAGAUGGUGCAAAAAAAAAGACUGAUACACAAGGUACUG